UACGAGGUUCCUAGGUACCUAAGUGACAGGACAAGACGGCGGAAUGAAAGAUAAAUAACGCGUUUCAUUUGUUGGUUUUCUAUUUUAUUUUCAACCACUUUGUGGUUUGAUGAAAUAGCUCAGAGCGAAAUUUGUUUAUUAUGAAGACCUACCCACAGCAAUUCGAAAUACUGAAUAUACUAUAUAUGGAAAAAUGAGAGUAACAAUCUUGAACCAUCCAACCCACUACAUGACAGCCAACCACUUCCAUCAAAUAGUCCACCUCAAAUCGACGAUGAAGAUAGUGAGGUAUAGAAGAAUCAAAUUUGCGUUUUGUCCAUUCUCAUGCGGCGACACAUGUUCCUGAGAGGCAGCCAGCUCAAUCUGGCCAUACAAUUACUAGUAGAUGGAGUAGAAAGCCAAGAUCCGAAGAGACAGCAAUAUGCAAGAACACUAGGCCGAAAAAAUUCUACCCAAGAUUACCACCAACAUUUUGUUGAUAAUGACAUUAAAUGGAGAUAAUUCAGAAAACAACAGCAUAAUGAUAAUAUGGAAUUGAGGCGAGAACAAAAUAGAAUAAGGCAGAUGGAAAUUAUAGCUUCAAAAGCUUUAGAUAUAUUAGACAAGUUAGCUACUAAAUAUUAUACAGAUAAAUCAUAACUUUUAUUGUUAAAUUUUGGUUCAUUUGAAUAUACAA